rnacentral:rRNA from 1 species
CCUACGGGAGGCAGCAGUGGGGAAUAUUGGGCAAUGGGCGCAAGCCUGACCCAGCAACGCCGCGUGAAGGAAGAAGGCUUUCGGGUUGUAAACUUCUUUUGACAGGGAAGAGUAGAAGACGGUACCGGUCGAAUAAGCCACAGCUAACUACGUGCCAGCAGCCGCGGUAAAACGGAGGUGGCAAGCGUUGUCCGGAUUUACUGGGGGUAAAGGGCGUGUAGGCGGGUUGACAAGUCAGAAGUGAAAGUCUAAGGCGUAACCGCAGAACUGCAUUUGAAACUGUGGAUCUUGAGUACUGGAGAGGCAGACGGAAUUCCUGGUGUAGCGGUGAAAUGCGUAGAUAUUAGGAGGAACACCAGUGGCGAAGGCGGUCUGCUGGACAGCAACUGACGGUGAGGCGCGAAAGCGUGGGGAGCAAACAGGAUUAGAUACCCGAGUAGUC